AUUGAACGCUGGCGGCAUGCUUUACACAUGCAAGUCGAACGGUAACAGGCCGCAAGGUGCUGACGAGUGGCGGACGGGUGAGUAAUGCAUCGGAACGUGCCCAGUCGUGGGGGAUAACGCAGCGAAAGCUGCGCUAAUACCGCAUACGAUCUAUGGAUGAAAGCGGGGGACCGAAAGGCCUCGCGCGAUUGGAGCGGCCGAUGUCAGAUUAGGUAGUUGGUGGGGUAAAGGCCUACCAAGCCAACGAUCUUUAGCUGGUCUGAGAGGACGACCAGCCACACUGGGACUGAGACACGGCCCAGACUCCUACGGGAGGCAGCAGUGGGGAAUUUUGGACAAUGAGCGCAAGCCUGAUCCAGCAAUGCCGCGUGCAGGAAGAAGGCCUUCGGGUUGUAAACUGCUUUUGUACGGAACGAAACGGCUCGGGUUAAUACCCUGGGCUAAUGACGGUACCGUAAGAAUAAGCACCGGCUAACUACGUGCCAGCAGCCGCCGUAAAAC
rnacentral:rRNA from 1 species